GCGAAAGCAGGUCAUAGUGAUCCGGUGGUUCUGAAUGGAAGGGCCAUCGCUCAACGGAUAAAAGGUACUCCGGGGAUAACAGGCUGAUACCGCCCAAGAGUUCAUAUCGACGGCGGUGUUUGGCACCUCGAUGUCGGCUCAUCACAUCCUGGGGCUGAAGUAGGUCCCAAGGGUAUGGCUGUUCGCCAUUUAAAGUGGUACGCGAGCUGGGUUUAGAACGUCGUGAGACAGUUCGGUCCCUAUCUGCCGUGGGCGCUGGAGAACUGAGGGGGGCUGCUCCUAGUACGAGAGGACCGGAGUGGACGCAUCACUGGUGUUCGGGUUGUCAUGCCAAUGGCACUGCCCGGUAGCUAAAUGCGGAAGAGAUAAGUGCUGAAAGCAUCUAAGCACGAAACUUGCCCCGAGAUGAGUUCUCCCUGACCCUUUAAGGGUCCUGAAGGAACGUUGAAGACGACGACGUUGAUAGGCCGGGUGUGUAAGCGCAGCGAUGCGUUGAG
rnacentral:rRNA from 1 species